AAUAGAUACCCUGGUAGUCCACGCCGUAAACGAUGGAUGCUAGCUGUUAUGCGUAUCGACCCGUGUAGUAGCGAAGCUAACGCGUUAAGCAUCCCGCCUGGGGAGUACGAACGCAAGUUUAAAACUCAAAGGAAUUGACGGGGACCCGCACAAGCGGUGGAGCGUGUUCUUUAAUUCGAGGCUAAGCGAAGAACCUUACCAGGGCUUGACAUCCUUGGAAUUUCUCCGAAAGGAGAGAGUACUUUAUUGGACCAAGUGACAGGUGCUGCAUGGCUGUCGUCAGCUCGUGUCGUGAGAUGUCGGGUUAAGUCCCAUAACGAGCGAAACCCCUGUCUCCAGUUGCCAGCGAGUAAAGUCGGGGACUCUGGAGAGACUGCCGGUGUUAAACCGGAGGAAGGCGGGGAUGACGUCAAGUCCUCAUGGCCUUUAUGUCCAGGGUUGCACACGUGCUACAAUGGCGUACACAGAGGGAGGCCAACGCGCGAGCGGGAGCCAAUCCCAAAAAAUACGCCCCAGUUCAGAUCGAAGGCUGCAACUCGCCUUCGU
rnacentral:rRNA from 1 species